CCUACGGGAGGCAGCAGUGGGGAAUAUUGCACAAUGGGCGAAACCCUGAUGCAGCCACGCCGCGUGAGUGAAGAAGUCAUUCGUGAUGUAAAGCUCUAUCAGCAGGGAAGCAAAGGACGGUACUUGACUCCGAAGCCCCUGCUAACCACGUUACAGCAGGCGCGGCAAUACGUAGGGGGCAAGAGUUGUCCGGAUUUACUGGGUGUAAAGGGAGCGUAGACGGGGAGGUAGGUCUGAGGUGAAAUGCCAGGGGUUAAACCUGGAACUACUGUAGAAACUGCGGCGCGAGAGUGCAGGAGAGGUAAGUGGAAUGCCUAGUGUAGCGGUGAAAUGCGUAGAUAUUAGGCGGAACACCAGUGGCGAAGGCGGCUUACUGGACUGUAACUGACGCUGAGGCACGAAGGCGUGGGGAGCAAACAGGAUUAGAUACCCUUGUAGUC
rnacentral:rRNA from 1 species